AUUUGAGUUUGAUUCUGGCUCAGAGCGAACGUUCUCGGAAUAUAUAGACAUGCUUAUCGGGCCAUAACUCUAUUAAGGCUCGGUGUAUUUAAGAGUACAAUGGAAGAAUACAAGUAUUUCUGCUAUUCUUGAUGUCUAAGACGUAGGUUCAAGAAAUAUAGUACUUCCACAAGAUUAGAUAAUUGGUAGGCGAAAAUUUACCAAGUCGAAGAUCUUUAACAAUUUUUAACGAAACAAUUGUCUUCUCGGGUUUGAAAUACUACCCGAAUUUUCGAAUCGCAGUCAAGAAUGUUGGACAAUUACCGGAAGGUAGAUCCAGUAAUUCCGAUUGAUCAUGAAGAUACCUUUAUCGUAAAGAUCACUAAAGUAAACAAAUUGUUGAUUGUUUUUUUGAUAGUUCCAACAAAUUAUGUGCCAGAAGUUUCGGUAAUACAUGAGGAGCUAACGUUGUUCAGAAACAUUAGGUGUAAAUUGCGUCUAGGGGGUAUAACAGGUUACUGAAAGUGAUACUUAAGGUUAUAAUCCUUACUAAUCAUUCUGAUAAUCGUUAUUCUUGGGUAUGUUCUGGGAAAGGUGGAAUAGGCUAUGUAACAAUAAAAUGUUCUGAUAUAGUCUGGAAUUUCAAACGCGAAAGCAGCCUUCUUCGACUUUAAAUAUCACAUGGUAUUUUCUUUGUAGAUAUUAACCGACCCUGAAUUCGCUAAAGUUUGGGUAGCAAAAAGAAUUAGAGACUCUUGUAGUCCAAACCGUCAACGAUAAUGGUUCCCUUUUCGUGUUCGGGAAGGGUCGCAAACGUAAAACCAUUAACCUGAACAGUAUAUCCGCAAGGACGAAAUUUAAAGAAUUAGAUGAGAGAAAAUACAAUUCGUGGAUUAUGUUGGAUAAUUCGAUAAAACCCGCAAAUCUUACCCUCCUUUGCAUGUCAGUAUGAUUAAUGGCUUAACACCUGUUAUUUUUGAAAGAUUCCUUUUCAAACUUUUCGCUGUCACAGAUGUUGCAUGGUUGUCGUCAGACCUUGUUUUUGAAAUGUUUGGUUAAUUCCAAAAAAGGUCGAAACUUUGGUUUUAAGUUAAAGAAAACGUGUAGCUUGAGCUUCUACAUCGGAAUAAACACUGAAAAGAUCGCUUGUUUAAGGUAAGAUGAAAGAAAAAAUGACGUCUAAAUCCUUAUGACUCUUAUAGGGGGGGCUCCAAAUGUAAUACAAUCGAAACAAGCAAAGAGAUACUUUUUUUAAAAAUAGUAAAACUUUAACAUUUUUGUCAGUCCGGAUUAUUUUUUGUAACUCAAAAAUAUGAAGAAGGAAUGAAUAGUAAUGGUUGAAUAGGAUGCAACCGUGAACUGUCUAAUUUUCUUUUUACUUAUCGCCCAUCACUUCACGAGAAUUGUUUCGACCAAAAUCUAUAAUUUUAGUAGUUCUGGAGUUCUCUUUCCAUAAGGCUUGUGUUGGGAGAGUCUGUAACUUUUGAAUCACUGGAGAAGGGGGUGACAGUAAUUGUGAGCAAGUUGUAACAAAGUAGUCGUAGAUGAAUCUGUGGCUGGAA
rnacentral:rRNA from 1 species